rnacentral:rRNA from 1 species
CGGAGCUAAUACCGGAUAAUCCUUUCCCUCACAUGAGGGAAAGCUGAAAGACGGUUUCGGCUGUCACUUACAGAUGGGCCCGCGGCGCAUUAGCUAGUUGGUGAGGUAACGGCUCACCAAGGCAACGAUGCGUAGCCGACCUGAGAGGGUGAUCGGCCACACUGGGACUGAGACACGGCCCAGACUCCUACGGGAGGCAGCAGUAGGGAAUCUUCCGCAAUGGACGAAAGUCUGACGGAGCAACGCCGCGUGAGCGAUGAAGGCCUUCGGGUCGUAAAGCUCUGUUGUCAGGGAAGAACAAGUACCGGAGUAACUGCCGGUACCUUGACGGUACCUGACCAGAAAGCCACGGCUAACUACGUGCCAGCAGCCGCGGUAAUACGUAGGUGGCAAGCGUUGUCCGGAAUUAUUGGGCGUAAAGCGCGCGCAGGCGGUUCCUUAAGUCUGAUGUGAAAGCCCCCGGCUCAACCGGGGAGGGUCAUUGGAAACUGGGGAACUUGAGUGCAGAAGAGGAGAGCGGAAUUCCACGUGUAGCGGUGAAAUGCGUAGAGAUGUGGAGGAACACCAGUGGCGAAGGCGGCUCUCUGGUCUGUAACUGACGCUGAGGCGCGAAAGCGUGGGGAGCGAACAGGAUUAGAUACCCUGGUAGUCCACGCCGUAAACGAUGAGUGCUAAGUGUUAGAGGGUUUCCGCCCUUUAGUGCUGCAGCAAACGCAUUAAGCACUCCGCCUGGGGAGUACGGCCGCAAGGCUGAAACUCAAAGGAAUUGACGGGGGCCCGCACAAGCGGUGGAGCAUGUGGUUUAAUUCGAAGCAACGCGAAGAACCUUACCAGGUCUUGACAUCCUCUGACAACCCUAGAGAUAGGGCGUUCCCCUUCGGGGGACAGAGUGACAGGUGGUGCAUGGUUGUCGUCAGCUCGUGUCGUGAGAUGUUGGGUUAAGUCCCGCAACGAGCGCAACCCUUGAUCUUAGUUGCCAGCAUUCAGUUGGGCACUCUAAGGUGACUGCCGGUGACAAACCGGAGGAAGGUGGGGAUGACGUCAAAUCAUCAUGCCCCUUAUGACCUGGGCUACACACGUGCUACAAUGGAUGGAACAAAGGGCUGCAAAACCGCGAGGUCGAGCCAAUCCCAUAAAUCCAUUCUCAGUUCGGAUUGCAGGCUGCCACUCG